UUACUUAGUAAACGUACGAUUAAUGAACAGUGGAGCAAUUGGAAUCAAUUUUAAACAGGAUAUGUCAAGCCAGCUGUCUGGAGUCCUCAUUUUCAAAACAAAUAAAAUCAUGGCGGCCCGUUUAAAAUCGAGUUUUCUACAGUUGAUUCGGUCACGAAAUACAUCACAUUUUAGGUUUACAAUGAAAACGAGAAACCAGUUCCACACACAAUACACAUUGGCCAGAACUUCCGAAAACGCCUGCCUCUGACAGUACCCACACAGUUCGCAGGAACUUGUUUGAAAUGGAAGGAGUGAAAAGUGGCCCUGACUUCAUCACAGUGCCCAAGACAGAUGGCGAUGUGGAGUGGACAGACGUCAAGCCAUGUCAUGGAUGCCAUCACUAAGUGGAGACCCCAUGACCACGGGGGUGACCCACGAUGAGAGCAGUCACUUUGAAGGUGAUGAAAUUCUUUCAAUGAUUAACGAGCUUCUAGAUACACGGAUCAGAAUCUUUCAAGAUCCUUGAUAUCAUUCAUCUGCACUUAUGGACUGCGCUCUUCAAUUCAAACCACAGACCCACAGUGAUGGAGGAUGGCGGUGAUAUAAUCUUUAAGGGCUUUGAGAAUGGCACGGUAAAGCUGAAGCCGGUUGGCUCGUGCACCAGCUGCCCCAGCUCCACUGUCACCUUGAAGAAUGGCAUCCAGAACAUGCUGCAGUUCUAUAUCCCGGAGGUGGAUGACGUGGAACAGGUGGAAGAUGAAGUGGAUCAUGUCAACGCAAACGUUUUCACCGAGUUGGAACGCAAGUUUGGAGACAAAACUGUCGGCCCCCAUGCCUAUAGAUAAACAGCCUGUUGUAUAGAUGUCAUGCAAACCAGGUAGACACUGCUUACCCUAGUGCAAUGUUCAUGAUGAGAGAAUAAUAUUCAGCAUUGCAAUUUCAAAACACCUAGAAGUGUUCUGUGCGCUGUUGUCUAUUAGUGUGGCGAGAAAAUUACUGUUAUUGUUUCUACAUAAAUAUUUUCAGUGCACAGUAAUUGGCCGUAAUUUUGUAGGACUAACCUUGCUUCUGAAUUUUAAAAAUGUAGUUCACUGCACUGAAGAACUGGAAGUUCUUCCCACGAAUCUAGCAAAAACAAGGAUUAUAAAAUGGAAGUACAUGCUCUAAAAGGAAUUCUCCGAUAUCAUAGCGGUCUGCAAACAAUCGCUUGUGCUGGAAUAUAUGAUCAAUCAUGAUGACCAAUUCAGUAUUACCAUUAAAAUAAAUCCAAAUAAAUACCUAUUAACUUCUAUCACACCCUUCCCCUCCCCCCAAAAAAACUUGCCAACCCCCCUGAUCUAUAUCAUGCUGAAACACUUCACCCUUAGGAUUGUUCAGUAUGUCAACAACCAUUUCAACAUUAACAUCUCAUACCCCCAGUAUCUCUUUUGCCGUCUCCACAAGAACCUUCAACCUGGCAUUUCUGCUUUCCACAACCUGAAUCGUAUUGAUAACCUUACCAAUAAAAGCUAUGAAGUCAACUUCAUUAUCAGUGUCCUUUGACAGUGCACAUUCAUGAGCGCAAGAUUUCUGAACAGGUGUCCAAACCAUGCCAGGACCAGCAGAAACACCAGCCGGGUUAUUCCUACAAUGCGGUGCCAUUUGGACCUCAAAUCUUUUGGAAAAAUGUUGUAUAUUGUAGCAGGUUCAAGGGUGUGGGGUUUCAAUGUCACCAAGUUCAAUAACCAAACAAACACAAGGAGCACAACUAGAAUGCAAAUGGGGAGUUUAGUUGGGAGUUUUGCACACUGGGGAAAGGGGGGAAUUCACCAACCAUUUCACAGUCCACAAUCCAUUUCUCCAGGGGUAAUCAUAAAACUCAGGUCCUCGGCCAAACCGGUUCGGUACACAGUGGGGUAACCACACAGCCAUUUCACUCGCUUCCCUCUCCAUUCUCUGCCGCAUCCUCUUUGUCCCCAAGCAUUCCCUGGCUUAAUGACCCACAGGCUCGCCUCGUUGGGCCAGGAAGUCCAUAUAAGGCUCGGGGGUGGAGCCUAUCUCCCUUCAAUUACCACUUCCCUCACCUCUCCCUGCCACAAAUGUAUGUGUUCUCUCAGAAAAAGGACAUGUUUGACUUUCAGAAAAACAUAUUGAUCAAGCUCAGGCAC